rnacentral:rRNA from 1 species
UACGUAGGCAGCAAGCGUUGUUCGGAGUUACUGGGCGUAAAGAGUAUGUAGGCGGUGUCCUAAGUUCGGUGUGAAAUCUCCCGGCUCAACUGGGAGGGUGCGCUAUAGACUGUGGGACUAGAGUGUGGGAGAGGAAAGUGGAAUUCCUGGUGUAGCGGUGAAAUGCGUAGAUAUCAGGAGGAACACCGGUGGUGUAAACGGCUUUCUGGACCAUAACUGACGCUGAGGCACGAAAGCGUGGGUAGCAAACAGG